UUUUUUGAGAGUUUGAUCCUGGCUCAGGAUGAACGCUGGCGGCGUGCCUUAGGCAUGCAAGUCAAGGGGGUCCGCCAUCUGGCGGACAACCGGCAGACGGGUGAGUAACGCGUGGGAAUCUACCCCUGGGUGGAGCAUAGCCCUCCGAAAGGAGGGGUAAUUCUCCAUAAUCUCGAAAGAGCAAAGGUCUUAACUGGCCACCGAGGGAGGAGCCUGCGUCCUAUCAGCUUGUUGGUGGGGUAAAAGCCUACCAAGGCUAUGACGGGUAGCUGGACUGAGAGGUCGAUCAGCCACAACUGCACUGAAACACGGGCAGUACACCUACGGGUGGCAGCAACCGGGAAUAUUGGACAAUGGACGAAAGUCUGAUCCAGCGACGCCGCGUGGAGGAAGAAGGCCUAUGGGUUGUAAACUCCUUUUGCUAAGCCGUUCACAGCUUAGAGAAUAAGCCCCUACUAACUACGUGGCCCGUUAGAAAACGGGUUAGGCGCGUAGUAUAAAUUUCACUAUAUGCUGGAAACUUUUGUAAAGACUAAUCUACCGAAAGGUGAAAAUGAUUAGCCAAACCCUAAAAAGUCUGAGACUGACAUAAGGGUUGCAAAACAAUCAGCAGGGAAGAUCCGUCAAUUGGCGGAAACCCUCAGAGACUAUACGUGAAACACUCGAAAGAGUGAAGAUAUAGUCCAUGUUCGGAACGUUUUUUCUAACGGGCCGGGCCAGCCCCGUUUAGAAAUCUGGUUUUAAAAUCAGGUUUUACAGACGGAGCUGAUGUUCUUUUAGAAUUUGUUCAAUUUAACGAACACAUUUCUAACGGGGCCAGAAGUCUCGGUAAUACGUAGGGGGCAAGCGUUAUCCGGAUUCAUUGGGCGUAAAGUGUGCGUAGGCUUCUUGAAAAGUCGUAUCUUAAAGGCUGAGGCUUAACCUCGGACAUCGAUACGAUACUUUCAAGAUUAGAGGGUUGACAGGGAUGCUGGAACAGUUAGUGUAGCAGUGAAAUGCGUUGAUAUUAACUGGAACACCAAAGGCGAAGGCAAGCAUCUGGGUUUUCCCUGACGCUGAGGCACGAAAGCUAGGGUAGCGAAACAGAUUAGAGACCUGUGUAGUCCUAGCCGUAAACGAUGUCCGCUAGCUAUAGCCCGCAAGGGCUGUGGCGUAAGCUAACGCGUUAAGCGGACCGCCUGGGGAGUACGGUCGCAAGACUAAAACUCAAAGGAAUUGACGGGGACCCGCACAACCGGUGGAGCGUGUGGUUCAAUUCGAGACAAAACGAAGAACCUCACCAGGGUUUGACAUAGUACCGUUUAUUUCCCAAGAAACUGGGAGAAAUCCGUAAGGAUGGUAUUACAGGUGCUGCAUGGCUGUCGUCAGCUCGUGCCGUGAGGUGUUCCCUUAAGUGGGGAAACGAGCGCAACCCGCGCCAAAUGUUAAAUUUUUCAUUUGGGACUGUCCCAGUUUUACUGGGGAGGAAGGAGCGGAAGACGUCAAGUCAGCAUGGUCCUUAUACCCUGGGCCACACACACACUACAAUGGCGAAAAACAGCGUGUUGCAAGCCGGCAACGGCAAGCUAAUCACUGAAAUUUCGCCCCAGUUCAGAUUGGGGGCUGAAACUCGCCCUCAUGAAGUCGGAAUCGGUAGUAAUCGCGGAUCAGCAUGCCGCGGUGAAUACGUUCUCGGGUCUUGUACACACCGCCCGUCAAGGCAGCAAAGUCGUGAGUAGACGAACUACGAUUUUUUCGUGGGAGUCUAAAUUCGGCGAUGAAGCUUAAGUCGUAACAAGGUAUCCCUAGCCGAAGCUGGGGAUGGAUCACCUCCUUU
rfam:Microgenomates (Levybacteria) bacterium GW2011_GWA2_40_8 TT21_C0014, whole genome shotgun sequence.